rnacentral:rRNA from 1 species
GACGAACGCUGGCGGCGUGCCUAAUACAUGCAAGUAGAACGCUGAAGCUUGGUGCUUGCACCGAGCGGAUGAGUUGCGAACGGGUGAGUAACGCGUAGGUAACCUGCCUGGUAGCGGGGGAUAACUAUUGGAAACGAUAGCUAAUACCGCAUAAGAGUAGAUGUUGCAUGACAUUUGCUUAAAAGGUGCAAUUGCAUCACUACCAGAUGGACCUGCGUUGUAUUAGCUAGUUGGUGAGGUAACGGCUCACCAAGGCAACGAUACAUAGCCGACCUGAGAGGGUGAUCGGCCACACUGGGACUGAGACACGGCCCAGACUCCUACGGGAGGCAGCAGUAGGGAAUCUUCGGCAAUGGACGGAAGUCUGACCGAGCAAUGCCGCGUGAGUGAAGAAGGUUUUCGGAUCGUAAAGCUCUGUUGUAAGAGAAGAACGAGUGUGAGAGUGGAAAGUUCACACUGUGACGGUAUCUUACCAGAAAGGGACGGCUAACUACGUG